CAGUGGUUAGAUACCCAUUCAGCGGUUAGAUACCCAUUCAGUGGUUAGAUAUCCCAUUCAGUGGUUAGAUACCCAUUCAGUGGUUAGAUACCCAUUCAGUGGUUAGAUAUCCAUUCAGUGGUUAGAUAUCCAUUCAGUGGUUAGAUACCCAUUCAGUGGUUAGAUAUCCAUUCAGUGGUUAGAUAUCCAUUCAGUGGUUAGAUAUCCAUUCAGUGGUUAGAUAUAGGAAUUUAAUGAAAGUUGACCACAGUACAGUAGAUCAGGGGUUAUAGUGGAUAUACACUGGGUGGACAAAACUUUAGGAACAACUUCCUAAUAUUUAGUUUUGUCCUCAGAAGGUGUUCCACAGAGAUGGCUGCGCAUGUUGACUCCAAAGCUUCCCAAAGUUGUGUCAAGUUGGCUGGAUGUCCUUUGGGUGAUGGACCAUUCUUGAUACACACGGGAAACUGUUGAGGGUGGAAAACCCAGCAGAGGGAAGGUUCAUGUCUUGAUCAGAGGAAGUCGGUCAGGGAGAUGGAGAGGGACAGUUGAUGUCUUGAUCAGAGGAAGGCGGUCAGGGAGAUGGAGAGGGACAGUUGAUGUCUUGAUCAGAGGAAGGUGGUCAGGGAGAUGGAGAGGGACAGUUGAUGUCUUGAUCAGAGGAAGGUGGUCAGGGAGAUGGAGAGGGACAGUUGAUGUCUUGAUCAGAGGAAGGCGGUCAGGGAGAUGGAGAGGGACAGACAGAACAGCUACCUAAGACGAGAGGUGGUGGUCUGUCUCUAUUUGUCAACAACAGCUGGUGCGCAAUCUAUUAAGGAAGUCUCAAGGUUUUGCUGGCCUGAGGUAGAGUACCUCAUGAUAAGUUGUGGACCACACUAUCUACCAAGAGAGUUUUCAUCUAUAUUUUCGUAGCCGUCUAUUUACCACCACAAACCGAUGCUGGCACUAAGACCGCAUUCAGCCAGCUGUUUAAGGCCAUAAGCAAAGAAGAACAUGCUCAUCCAGAAGCGGCGCUCCUAGUGGCCGGGGACUUUAAUGCAGGAAAACUUAAAUCCGUUUGACCUCAUUUCUACCAGCAUGUCACGUGCAACCAGAGAAAAAAUAACACUAGACCACCUUUACUCCACACACAGCGAUGCAUAUAAAGCUCUCCCUCGCCCUCCAUUUGGCAAAUCUGACCAUAAUUAUGUCCUCCUGAUUCCUGCUUACAAGCAAAAACUAAAGCAGGAAGUACCAGUGACUCGCUCAAUACAGAAAUAGUCAGAUGACACAGAUGCUAAGCUACAGGACUGUUUUGCAAACUGGCUUCAUCAAUAAGUGCAUCGAUGACGUCGUCCACACAGUGACCGUACGUACAUAUCCCAACCAGAAGCCAUGAAUUACAGGACACAUCCACACUGAGCUAAAGGCUGCCGCUUUCAAGGAGCGGGACACAACUUUGGAUAUUUAUAAAAAAUCCCACUAUGCCCUCUGACGAACCAUCAAACAGGCAAGGCGUAAAUGGACUAAGAUUGAAUCCUACUACACCGGCUCUGAUUGACUACAGCUCAGCGUUUAAUACCAUAGCUUAGUGAUGAGCUUUGAGGGCACUAAGGACCUUGAGACCCAAUACCUCCCUCUGCAAUGGAUCCUGGACUUUCUGAUGGGCCACCUCCAGGUGCUAAGGGUAGGCAGCAACACAUCUGUCACGCUGAUCCUCAACACGGGGGCCCCAGAGGGGAGCGUGCUUAGUCCCCUCCUAUAAACCCUGUUCACCCACGACUCCUUGAUGUCCACAUCACCAACAAACUAUUAUGGUCCAAACACACCAAGAUAGUUGUGAAGAGGGCAUGACAACACCUUUUCCCCCUCAGGAGACUGAAAAGAUUUGGCAUGGGUUCUCAGAUCCUCAAAAGGUUAUACAACUGUACCAUCGAGAGCAUCCUGACUGGUACAGUAUGGCAACCGCUCAGCAUCCGACCGCAAGGCGCUACAGAGGGUAGUGCAUACGGUCCAGUACAUUACUGGGCCCAAGCUUCCUGCCAUCCAGGACCUCUAUACUAGGCAAUGUCAGAGGAAGGCCCUAAAUAUUGUCAAAAACUCCAGCCACCCCAGUCAUAGACUGUUCUCUCUGCUACCACUCGGGAAGUGGUACUGGAGUGCCAAGUCUGGGUCCAAAAGGCUCCUUAGGACCCACGUACAGAUGGAGCUGCCGUUCUCUGGUCUGGAGUUGACCUUCAUCAUCAUCGCCUUCAUCAUAUUUUCUCUCUUCAGCCUGGCCUCAGUCUGUACUCAGCCAGACACAGAGGAAGCUGUGUGUGAAGAGAAGAGGUUCCAAAGGAGACCAGAGAGGAAGCAACGUGUCAUCGUCAAACUGGCCUCUCAGAAAGAACCCUAAACACUGUCCCAAACUUGCCUCUCAGGAAGAACCCUAAACACUGUCCCAAACUGGCCUCUCAGAAAGAACCCUAAACACUGUCCCAAACUGGCCUCUCAGAAAGAACCCUAAACACUGUCCCAAACUGGCCUCUCAGAAAGAACCCUAAACACUGUCCCAAAC
ensembl:lncRNA